UGCCUUGAAAGCACAAACAGCCAGGUAGCCUCAGAACAAAUACCUUGAGAGGUGCCAGAAAAAAAGAUGAGAAGAGUUUUUUGUGGCUCAGAAUGAUUGAAAAGACUAUAGUGUUUUGAGCAGUUCAUUAUGUUUUCCUCUGAUCUGAGGCUGUUUGUGAAGGAAACAAAAAUUAUUACUGUAUUUCAACCUUGUUUUAACAGUAUUGACUGCACCACUGGUUUCUCCUCCUAACUGGAAUAGCAUUAUACCACUUUUGAGCUGUUACUGGGAUGCCAUUCACCUCAAAGGGAGGCAGCAAUCAAAAGUUAUGAUGUCAUCUUUCCAGGCACUAUCACAGUUCUGUAUGCAUUGUGCUAGAAUUCCUUGGGCCACGUGUUAUUUCCCUGAGGGUCGUUUCUGCACAUAUGGAGGCAAUGGGUACCUUGCUCUUGACUUCAAAUGGAGAAUGACUAAAUUCUGA
rnacentral:lncRNA from 1 species